rnacentral:sRNA from 1 species
CUAUGAGGGAGACCUGUCUGGGACAUCUGUCACCCCAUUCUUUGCCAAGAUGAUCUAACUGGUAUGUGUGGCAGCUGUCUCCUUUCUCUAUCCCUGAUCCACAUACAUUUUUUCCUGAAGCUACACGCUGGUUUGAAAACUUUCUGCAACAGAAGAAUAAUUAUAUUCUCUUGCUAUGUCCUCCAAACAAGUCUUAAUAAAAAAAAAAAGGAAACAUCAUUAAUACAUGACUAUAA